GCUGGCACAAUGAUGAUUCCUUUUGCCGUUUACCCAUCUGAAUGUAUGCUGAUGCGCUCUAUUUUAAUUCUGAGAUGCCAGC
ensembl:snoRNA